CAUUCCCACUCCUACCCUCUUGCCUUUCUGCAAUUCCCUUUUUGCUUUCUUCCAGAAGGCAGAUCUUUUUCUCGGUGCCACGAGACUUUCUUUUGGCUGAGGCAGAUGGCCAGGGAACUCUCGAGGACUGCAGGGGGGUUUGGCGUUGGGUGGGGCUGAUAAGGAUAUAGGCAGGGUUUUUUGGGGGGGGGGUUGAUUUCUGAGAAUCUCGAGGGGGGCGGUUUGUGUGUGUGUCCCUGUGCAGCAUCUUCUUUUCAGCAUCGCCUCGGCCUUCAGGAUGCGGGGUGCGCGAUGGUGCCAGUUUCCUGCAGCGUCUCCCGGGCAACCGUGGCUUUAGAUUGUUACUGUGGGGACACGGGCUGGUAACAGUCUACAGCCAUGGUUGCCCAGAGCGGGCGCCCGAGCGUCGAGCGUCGGCACAGCAGCCCGGGCCUGCGUUUCUGAAGGAGCCCCACGCCGGCAGGACGCCUUUCCUCCAACUCUUGGGGCAGAAGGACCCUCUGGCUGCGCCCUGCAACUCCCCAGGCAUCACCUGAAGCCCACUUAAAAACAACAGCAAGACACCGUCAUCUGCUUUAGCGCCAAGCCUUUGACCAUCUUGGCCCCGCGAGGAGUCGUCCCAGAACUCAAGGGCUUACUCUGCUGCUGUUCGCAGCUUUUUCCUCCUCGUCUUGCCCAACGCAGAACCGAAUUGUUUUGGCGAGGAGAGCAGCCGAUUCCGCCUGGAUCCCUUCUCUCAUCCCUGGCAGUCAAAUCAGAACAAAAGUCAAUAAAUCACCCUUUGCUGGCAUUUUACAACUGUUUUCCCCCCCCCUCCCCAAAAUCUUCUGCCUGAGAUGCCGGCCUCCCCUUUUCCUCGCCGGCAAAUUUGGAAAGCGUUCCCUGCAUCUCUCAUCAAAAUCGUUAACAAAAAUUGGUGGGUU
rnacentral:lncRNA from 1 species